rnacentral:ncRNA from 1 species
GUAGAGUAGAUGUUGUACGUAAAGUGUCGCUGGAGGGGGAGGCUUCCUGCGAACGAAGGUUUUGCCGCGUUACGAUAUCGCUUCCGCUA